rnacentral:tRNA from 1 species
AAUUUUAUAGUCAAAAAUUAUGAUUUUAAAUUGCAAAUUUAAAGGUGAAUUUCUAAUUCUAAAAUUU